UUUUUUUUUUUUUUUUUUAACAUAUUUCACAUGAAAUGCAGUAGAGGAAACCUUUUUUUUGGACAUAAAAACUAUCUUGGCAUAUUCAUUUUAGCACCAUGCCAUUUUCUCUCAAAUUUCUCUCAAUUUUCCCCCAACUAGACAUUCAUUCUCAUGGUAAUAAGGUUAGCUAUUUACUACCUAAUUAGUUAUUUUGACUUUAAAUUGAUUAAUGCUAAUAAUUUAUAAGAAUGAUGGACUUAAUAUCUUUAUUUCAUAUAUUUAUACUUAUUAUUUAGU
rnacentral:misc_RNA from 1 species